AUGGGGUCCCAGAUCCCGGGUGAGCAGGGACUGCGUCCCCGUCCCGGACGAGAGGAGGUAGGGGAGGUGGGUCAUUGCCAGCGCUACAGAACAAGGAGAGCGGUGCGGAGCGAGGAGAUAGGCCUUGAAGGCGGGCUCCUCCACGAGGACCGCAGGCGGCGGCCAGGCCUCGCGUGCGACCAGGCUGUAGCUGUAGCAGGGGCCGCGCCGGACGGCAGGGGUGGAGCGCCGCACGUCGAGAUGGAGGCGGCUGGCUGCGGUGGCGCGCGGGGGCAUGGCCAGAGGUGGCAACGCGGCGGCCGGAGUUGGCGGUGGUGA
rnacentral:rRNA from 1 species